rfam:Myotis brandtii contig286242, whole genome shotgun sequence.
CUGUCUCUUGCUCCAAUAGUGUUUGGACAGGACAG